rnacentral:rRNA from 1 species
GACGAACGCUGGCGGCAUGCUUAACACAUGCAAGUCGAACGAAGUGGCGAACGGGUGAGUAAUACGUGAGUAACCUGCCCUCCUUUUUGGGAUAAGCCUUGGAAACGGGGUCUAAUACCGAAUAAAGGGGGAUGGGCUCGCGGCCUAUCAGCUUGUUGGUGGGGUGAUGGCCUACCAAGGCGGUGACGGGUAGCCGGCCUGAGAGGGUGACCGGCCACAUUGGGACUGGGGUACGGCCCGGACUCCUACGUGGGGCAGCGGUGGAGGCUAUUGCCCAAUGGGCGAAAGCCUGAUGCAGCGACGCCGCGUGCGGGAUGUCGGCCUUCGGGUUGUAAACCGCUUUCAGCCAUGACGCGGUAGUGGCAGAAGAAGCACCGGCUAACUACGUGCCAGCCGCCGCGGUAAUUC